rnacentral:lncRNA from 1 species
CUGUGGCAUAUGGAGAUUCGCAGGCUAGGGGUCUAAUUGGAGGUACAGCUGCCGGCCUACCCCACAGCCACAGCAAUGUGGUAUCCGAGCCACGUCUGCAACCUACACCACAGCUCACGGCCACGUCGAAUCCUUAACCCACUGAGCAAGGGCAGGGAUCAAACCCACAACCUCAUGGUUCCUAGUCAGAUUCAUUAACCACUGCGCCAUGAUGGGAACUCCAAGAAUGCAAUCCAUUUUGCAUGCAAAGAUAACCACAGCUUUGCCAUAACCCUUCUGGAGAGAGCUGGAAAGACACAUGGGGAAAACCAUGAGCUGGCCCCUCCACCGCUCAGGUAGGCUCUAGGACUCUCUCCCAGUGGACUUUCUCCCAGGUAAAGGCCUUUGGGAGCCCAGCCAAGGUUUUAAGGACCAGCUCCAAUUCAGACUCUUGUCAGGUCACCUUCCCAAGCUCCCCUGCAAGAAUGAAGGACCCUCCCCUUCUUCCUUGGCGCUCCCUGUGUAACUGGUGUGGCCUUCCUCCCGGCUGAUUUCCAUUUCCCUUCUUUGGGCAUAUCUUGGUUCUGGAGGCAGCCCGAUGCGAGUUCAAUACCAGCUCUCCCAUUUAACUCAGUGCCUUGAGCAGGUGGCUCCACCUGUGAGGCUCAGGUUACUCGACUGUAAAAUGGGUAUAAUAAUAUUGCGUGCCCUCCAGGAGUGGUGUGAGAAGUAAACAAGGCCAGGCAUCUCAGGGACACUGCUCUGCCCCGCAUGGAAUCUGAGUCCCUCGGUAACCAGGACUUGCUGGGGUAUUGACGCCGAUGAUGCUGAAUUUUCAUGGCAACAAAGCAUCCAGCCACUUUCAAAUCACCUCUGACCUGUGCAGCGUCCAAGCAAGUGCCUUUCUUACGGUAACUGACCACAGCUUGCUCGGAGGAUAAAGGGAGAUGAUAAAGGAAAGGAGAGCAAUUAGCUCAGUGCCUGUCACCAAGGAGCUCAAGAAAUUUGAAUAUCCCUUUCUGCAAAACACAACUUUGUCGUACAGAAGCUUCAACAGCCUGAAUUAAGGCUGCUGGUGAAAAAAAAAGGGCUUAGAGAGGAAGAGAUGGGGACCCCCGGGGAACUGUAAAGUGAUCUCUAAAGAGACCAUGACCUUGUGGCUUUAAACAGGGCAUUGGUUGGGGUGACAUCAGCUGCAUGUCUUGCAGAAUGGAUGCAAAUCAAAUCUUUCAUGUCCUGCUCUUAUCCUCGAAAUGCCUGCACGGAUGAAAAAGGGAGGUGAUGACAGGGCUGAUGCGCUGUAGGAAGGUUGAGGGGAGGACAUCGCGGUGGCAUGAGGGGCUUCAGAUGAAGGCGGAUGGCGUCCCCAGGAAGAGCCUCCUUGAUCCCCAAUCAAGGGACUUGGAUGUUGACUCAGGGGCCUCAAGAGACUGGACCCAGGGGAAGAAAUUGAACACUAGCUGCCCACCCCCACCUUCCCCCAGAUCACCUUCCCCAGGUAAUUCUAUCCACAGGUGGAAAGGAACGCUGUUUCCGCCCUGCACCCUGGGGAGACCCAAGCUGAGCCCAGAGCAAUAGACAGAGCACAUGCAUAGGCAAGCCCCCCAAGCCCCAACACACAUCCCGAGCCUGCUGCUCCCUCCACUUCAAUAUUCCCAGAAGUGAUGCUCGCUGUCAAGUAAAGGAAAGAAGGAGUUCCCAUCGUGGUGCAGCAGAAACGAAUCCGACUAGGAACCGUGAGUGAGGUUGCAGGUUCGAGCCCUGGCCUCACUCACUGGGUUAAGGAUCCAGCGUUGCCGUGAGCUGUGGUGUAGGUCACAGCUGAGGCUCAGAUCCCGCAUUGCUGUGACUGUGGUGUAGGCGGGCAGCUACAGCUCCGUUUAGACCCCUAGCCUGGGAACCUCCAUAUGCCCUGUGGGUGCAGCCCUGAAAAGACAAAAACAAAAGAUAAAACAACAACAACCACAAAAACCUUUUAUUGUGUUGGAUCCCUGAGGUGUCCAGGAUUGAUCACCUGUCCUUGCAGCUGAGAUUACUUACUCCAAAUGGUAUAGACCCCAUUGUCCAUUCUUGGAAGGAUAAAUCCACGGCAUCCAUUGCAAUUCUUUAGAUACCGGGUGGAAGUGGCACUGAGAUUCCAGGUGGGAGACCUGUCUCCCGUUCCAGGCUGUAAAAAUGCGCAGCUGAAUGAUUGGGAAGAAUCAUUUCCUCCUCUGGCUCUCAGCUCCUCAUUGACACAGCAAGGGUGCUGAGUGAGAUAAUCGUUUCCAUGUCCUGCCGCUCUAAGACGGCGGUGAUGCUGGGCCACAGGGCUCAGCCCGCUGACCUCCACCUGUCCCUGAAAUGCAAGCUGAUGCCAAGUCCCCGGUCUGCGGGGUGCCGACCCUCUGCUGAUCAGAACAGCUAAGUAUUAUUAGAGACGGUCCCCAGUAGCCAAUGGAAGAGAUGAGGCAGAAUCAGGUGCUCAAGAACUGCUCCACCCAGGUUGCCCAGGCAACAGAUGACGUGAACAUGAAAUCUCCCAAUAUUCCUGGCUGCACCUCCACCCUGUGGACCCUCUGUCUGGCACCAUUUUGCCAGGCUCCAAUCAUAUCACGGACUGGAUAACUGGCCUCCCUGGAGCUGUGCAGGGCACCCUGCUGCCACCGCGGGUGGUGGCCUUGGCUCUCCUGGAACACACCGUGCCCGCCCACACCUCCUUGCUUUUGCCUGUGGGGUUCCACUUGGCCUGGAACAACAUCCCUCACUCCCCCAGCUGAGGGGGGAGCUCUUGUGUUCUUUCAAGGCCAGCUUGAAACACGGCCUCCUCUGGAACCCCCUCCCUGCUCGUCAUCCUUGCAGAAUUAAUUGUUGAUUGCCCCUUGAGAGCAUCAGUCACUUUGCUGCCCAGUUUGUCACUUGCAUGCCUGUCUCCCCCACUGGACUGUGUCUUCCUCAGCCCCAUGACCUUGUCUUUGUCAUCUUUGAAUUCCAGGCACCCCAGGCUUAUGGUAAAUUUUCAAUGAAUAUUCAUGAAUUGCAUGAACCAAGUUGCCUUUUCCUUGCUGCCCUGGAGUCAUACACACAGAUGCCAAAAUGUGCUUUUGAAAAAAAAAAAAAUUUAAAUGUAAAGCUGCUCAGAAAAUUCCCCCUCCCAAAGAAACAUCAUUGAUUAUGGAGUUAUGAAAGAAUGGCUGCUGACGCUGGUGCUCUGAGAUGAGAGAAGGGGUCAGCUGUUUUUCUGGAACCAAAAAGGGAUCGUGUCAAGUGGUGGGCUGCGCACGUGCAUAAAAGAGGCAUAAAUGGCUCUGCGACGAGACUCUAGGACAUGGGACGAUGAGGCCCCACCACUGAGGGCUGUGUCCAGAUGUGGUCUUAUGGUCCCCACUGACACCUGGCGGUCCUCCUGUGAGGCCACCUCUCUGCGGGCUGACAGGUGAGGCCAUCCCUCGGAAUUGGCCUGAUGGAGCUGCUGAUCCCCGGGGACCCAGAGAAGGAAUGUGAGAACCAGAAACAGAACACGAGAUGCACACGGGUGGAGGGAAACAGGACAAUGAGCUUAACUUCCCAUCAAAAUGUUGAUGGUGAGGCAACAGCAGGAGAAGCAGAUUCCUGGGUGUGGUGAGAGGAGACCAGCGUGAUGGAGACCAUGGCGUGGCCAGCAGCAGUCUGUGCCAAAGAGCAUCAGAGGGUGUCCCCCUGCCCAGAGAGUGCCGGAACAGCCACUGAGAGGUUGGCAUGGAGGAAGGAGGGCUGGGUCCUCUCACUGGAGCCCGUGCUGUGCUGUAGCUACAACCAUUAGAGGGAUCUGUUUCCACGUGAGGGCCAGCACGGCUGGGUGGCUUGUGGACAGGUCUCGGAAAGUUUACAGAAUCACAUCUGCAUGCUUUUGCCCCUAGUCAAUCGUCCCCUUCCUCCUUCUCAACCUGGUAGAGGCUGUCUCUACCAGGACUGAAAUGCUGGGCUUCUAUUGUUCCAGAAGGCUCCAUCACAACCUGCCCUCCAGCCCUCAAAUCAGGGAGACCCAUGAAGUGGGCUGAAGGUGGAUCCUCUCAAAUCAGUCCCCCAACUAUCCAGACACGCUCACCUUGGGCCAAGCACUUCCCUCCUCAGGCCAGCCCCCUCCCCGUGUCACAGCCUGCACCAGCUCUUCAAGGGGGACCCUCACGGCAGUUCCUCCAGUGGUCAUGGGAAGAUGUGGGACCACACUCACUGCCUCGUGCUGGUUUCCCAUCCCAUCUUUCCCUGCAGACUCUGAGCUCCUUGGGGUCAAGGCUCAUGCUCCCACUUAUCCAAGGGGCCAGCUAGUGAAGAAUCACUAUGAAAGUGCAGUGACAGCUAAAACGGAUGAAGCAUCUUCCGCAUGCCAGGGACGAGUCCGCGUCCUUUGCAUUCAUUAUCUAAACCUUUACUACUCUGUGAGGCAGGUAUGUUACGACUCCUGUUCUAUGAAUGAGAACAGCAAGCGGCGGAGAGAGGAGCAACGUGUCCAAGGUCACAGAGCAGGCAGCUGGCGGACCCCAGGAUCCCAGCCCAGGCCCUUGACUCGGGGCCCCGCCCUUAACAUGGCUCAUCCAACCACUAGGCUCUAAGACGCCUGGGUCUUCCUGGGUGGGGACGUCUGCACUGUCUUUGUCACACACGGGGCAAGAGCCUGUGCUCAUGCAAUAAAGUUAAUGUAAGAAGAACCAACUGUAUAGGCACCGAGCUGGACAAGCUCUUGGGCACCUGACACCUGAUUCAUUUCCAGCAACGCUCUGGGGUGGCGGCGCUCUGUGACAGAGAAGGAGGAAGCUGAGUCUGCUUUGAAAAUACGACCCACCCCCACCAUGUUCUAAAUCCUCUCAAAUCAUGUAACGUGUGUUUAUUUGGCUGAGCCUCAAAAUAUUGCUGCUAUUUAACUUUUUUUUUUUUUUUCCUUUUUGGCUGCCCCAUGGUGUAUGCAGUUCCCAGACCAAGGGUCAGAGCCAAGUUAUGCAGAUGUGGCCACAUGAGAUCCUUAACCCACUCUGCUGCGCUGAGGAUCAAACCCGGCACUACAAAGACACCACUGAUCCCACUGUGCCACAGCAGGAACCCCUGACCGUUUUUGACCAACAGCAUGGCAAUUUCAUGUGGUUCAAACUAAUAUGUCAGACUACGUACGACUAGGAAUAGCUGAUUAAUACGAUCAGUGAGAGACCUGUCACACUCAACCUUAGGUCUCACCCUUCAAAAGUGUUAUCCCCAGAGGCACUGGUUGUGCUCAGGGCUAGGGUCCUUGUGAGCAUGUGACAUGUCAAGGAAGGUUCAAAUCCGGCCAGUGCUCACAUCUCAGAGUCCAGGGAAAGUGACACAAGGAUAUGGUUUACUAAAACUCUUAUAAGUAGGAGACUCAGGUUAGAGUUCUCAGGGUUGCCUUUCAACCUCUGCGUGACCUUCAGCAAGUGCCUUAGUCUCUCUGAGCUUCAGAAAAAAUAAAUAAAUAAGAAUA